AUCCUUCUGUAGUUCACAAGCAUGAUGAUUGGGUUUUCAUGCUCAUGUGUGUGAUGUGCCUCCUUAAACCUUGUUAUGACUUCAGCACAUUAACCACCUGAUG
ensembl:snoRNA